GUGAGGAAUAUUGGUCAAUGGGCGGAAGCCUGAACCAGCCAUGCCGCGUGCAGGACGACGGCCCUACGGGUUGUAAACUGCUUUUCCGGGGGAAGAAUAACCCCCCUGCGGGGGGGGAUGCCGGUACCCCGGGAAUAAGGAUCGGCUAACUCCGUGCCAGCAGCCGCGGUAAUACGGAGGAUCCUAGCGUUAUCCGGAUUUACUGGGUUUAAAGGGUGCGUAGGCGGGCGUUUAAGUCCGCGGUGAAAGUCUGCGGCUCAACCGUAGGAUUGCCGUGGAUACUGGACGUCUUGGAUUCGGUCGGGGCGGGCGGAAUGCGUGGUGUAGCGGUGAAAUGCAUAGAUAUCACGCAGAACGCCGAUAGCGAAGGCAGCUCGCCGGGCCGAAAUCGACGCUGAGGCACGAAAGCGUGGGGAUCAAACAGGAUUAGAAACCCCAGUAGUCC
rnacentral:rRNA from 1 species